rnacentral:lncRNA from 10 species
GUUGUGUGCACAUGUGUUUAUGUAGCCAUUUUACUGUGAUGUGAUUCAGAUACCGUACAAUUCACUCACUGAAAGUGCACAACUGAGUGGCUUUUAGUAUAUUCACAGAGUUGUGCAACUGUCACCAGAAUCUGUUUUAAAACCUUUUUAUCAUUGCAGAAAGAAACCUACACCCAUUUGCAGUCACUCUCUGGGCUCAUUUCACCACAGAAGUUAAAGCUUGCAGGGGCAGCUGGGCGCGGUGGCUCACGCCUGUAAUCCCAGCACUUUGGGAGGCCGAGGCGGGCAGAUCACCAGGUCAGGAGAUCGAGACCAUCCUGGCUAACAUAGUGAAACCCCGUCUCUACUAAAAAAUACAAAAAUUAGCCGGGCGUGGUGGCGGGUGCCUGUAGUCCCAGCUACUCGGGAGGUUGAGGCAGGAGAAUGGCGUGAACCCGGGACGCGGAGCUUGCAGUGAGCCGAGAUCGCACCACUGCACUCCAGCCUGGGCGACAGAGCGAGACUCCAUCUCAAACAAAACAAAACAAAAAAGAAACCUUGCAGGAGCUCACGGCCUUUUUUUAUUUUAUGAGCUCCAGGAGGAGCAGGUGCAUCAAUGGCCAGACGUAGGGACAGCAUGUCCCAAUAUCUGGAAAUUGCAAGGGUAGACUUCUCCCUUCAGGACACAUUAACAUGGCUGUGAGUGUGCAGGAGAUAUGUGCACCAGCCACUGUGAGGCGGAGGCUGCAGUGAGCCGAGAACACACCACUGCACUCCAGCCUAAGUGACAGAGCACGACUCUGUCUCAAAAAAAAAAAAAAAAAAGAAAGAAAAGAAAGAAAAGAAAAAAACCUCUGUGGGUGCUCCCAGGAGGCAGAGUGUAAGUUAUCUUGGAGUCCUUAGUUCAGUGUUUGGUACUUAGGAGACACUCAAUAAAUGUCUGAUGAAUGGCAGAUGGAGGGUAGAGCAGACUCACACGAAGCUUUGAAUUGCAAGCUCAGGGACAACCAUCCCUGCUCUCCUGUCAGAGAGUGAACUCCAGG